rnacentral:rRNA from 1 species
AGAGUUUGAUCAUGGCUCAGAAUCAACGCUGGCGCGUGCCUCAGACAUGCAAGUCGAACGAUUAAAGCUCUCUUCGGAGAGUGUAUAGAGUGGCGCACGGGUGAGUAACACGUAGGUAAUCUACCUCGAGUGGGGAAUAACAACCGGAAACGGUUGCUAAUACCGCAUAAUGCAGCGGCACCGCAAGGUGACAGUUGUUAAAGAUUUAUCGCUUGAGGAGGUGCUUGCGGCAGAUUAGCUAGUUGGUAGGGUAACGGCUUACCAAGGCUACGAUCUGUAACCGGUCUAAGAGGACGGUCGGUCACACUGACACUGAAUAACGGGUCAGACUCCUACGGGAGGCAGCAGUCGGGAAUUUGGGCAAUGGGCGAAAGCCUGACCCAGCAACGCCGCGUGAAGGAUGAAGCAUUUCGGUAUGUAAACUUCGAAAGAAUAGGAAGAAUUAAUGACGGUACUAUUUAUAAGGUCCGGCUAACUACGUG